rnacentral:rRNA from 1 species
GUAACGGCGAGUGAAGCGGCAACAGCUCAAAUUUGAAAUCUGGCUCUCGGGCCCGAGUUGUAAUUUGUAGAGGAUGCUUUUGGUGAGGUGCCUUCCGAGUUCCCUGGAACGGGACGCCAUAGAGGGUGAGAGCCCCGUCUGGUUGGACACCGAUCCUCUGUAAAGCUCCUUCGACGAGUCGAGUAGUUUGGGAAUGCUGCUCUAAAUGGGAGGUAUAUGUCUUCUAAAGCUAAAUACCGGCCAGAGACCGAUAGCGCACAAGUAGAGUGAUCGAAAGAUGAAAAGAACUUUGAAAAGAGAGUUAAAAAGUACGUGAAAUUGUUGAAAGGGAAGCGCUUGUGACCAGACUUGGGCUUGGUUGAUCAUCCGGGGUUCUCCCCGGUGCACUCUUCCGGCUCAGGCCAGCAUCAGUUCGCCCUGGGGGAUAAAGGCUUCGGGAAUGUGGCUCUCUCCGGGGAGUGUUAUAGCCCGCUGCGUAAUACCCUGUGGCGGACUGAGGUUCGCGCAUUCGCAAGGAUGCUGGCGUAAUGGUCAUCAGUGACCCGUCUUGAAACACGGACCAAGGAGUCGUCUUCGUAUGCGAGUGUUCGGGUGUCAAACCCCUACGCGAAAUGAAAGUGAACGCAGGUGAGAGCUUCGGCGCAUCAUCGACCGAUCCUGAUGUUAUCGGAUGGAUUUGAGUAAGAGCAUACGGGGCCGGACCCGAAAGAAGGUGAACUAUGCCUGUGUAGGGUGAAGCCAGAGGAAACUCUGGUGGAGGCUCGCAGCGGUUCUGACGUGCAAAUCGAUCGUCAAACAUGGGCAUGGGGGCGAAAGACUAAUCGAACCUUCUAGUAGCUGGUUUCCGCCGAAGUUUCCCUCAGGAUAGCAGUGUUGAACUCAGUUUUAUGAGGUAAAGCGAAUGAUUAGGGACUCGGGGGCGCUAUUUAGCCUUCAUCCAUUCUCAAACUUUAAAUAUGUAAGAAGCCCUUGUUGCUUAA